rnacentral:rRNA from 1 species
GGUUAAGCGACUAAGCGUACACGGUGGAUGCCUAGGCAAUCAGAGGCGAUGAAGGACGUGCUAAUCUGCGAAAAGCGUCGGUAAGGUGAUAUGAACCGUUAUAACCGACGAUGUCCGAAUGGGGAAACCCAGUGCAAUUCGUUGCACUAUCGUUUGAUGAAUCCAUAGUCAAACGAGGCGAACCGGGGGAACUGAAACAUCUCAGUACCCCGAGGAAAAGAAAUCAACCGAGAUUCCCCUAGUAGCGGCGAGCGAACGGGGAGCAGCCCAGAGUCUUAAUCAGUAUCAGCAUCAGGAGAACGGUCUGGAAAGGCCGGCAAUAAAGGGUGAUAGCCCCGUAUCCGAAGGUGUUGGUGUUGUGAACUCGACGAGUAGGGCGGGACACGUGUUAUCCUGUCUGAAUAUGGGGGGACCAUCCUCCAAGGCUAAAUACUCCUGAUUGACCGAUAGUGAACCAGUACCGUGAGGGAAAGGCGAAAAGAACCCCGGCGAGGGGAGUGAAAUAGAACCUGAAACCGUGUACGUACAAGCAGUGGGAGCCUUGAUUUAUCAGGGUGACUGCGUACCUUUUGUAUAAUGGGUCAGCGACUUAUAUUCUGUAGCAAGGUUAACCGAAUAGGGGAGCCGUAGGGAAACCGAGUCUUAACUGGGCGAAUGAGUUGCAGGGUAUAGACCCGAAACCCGGUGAUCUAGCCAUGGGCAGGUUGAAGGUUGGGUAACACUAACUGGAGGACCGAACCGACUAAUGUUGAAAAAUUAGCGGAUGACUUGUGGCUGGGGGUGAAAGGCCAAUCAAACCGGGAGAUAGCUGGUUCUCCCCGAAAGCUAUUUAGGUAGCGCCUCGUGAACUCAUCUUCGGGGGUAGAGCACUGUUUCGGCUAGGGGGUCAUCCCGACUUACCAACCCGAUGCAAACUACGAAUACCGAAGAAUGUUAUCACGGGAGACACACGGCGGGUGCUAACGUUCGUCGUGAAGAGGGAAACAACCCAGACCGCCAGCUAAGGUCCCAAAGUCAUGGUUAAGUGGGAAACGAAGUGGGAAGGCUCAGACAGCCAGGAUGUUGGCUUAGAAGCAGCCAUCAUUUAAAGAAAGCGUAAUAGCUCACUGGUCGAGUCGGCCUGCGCGGAAGAUGUAACGGGGCUAAACCAUGCACCGAAGCUGCGGCAGCGACAUGUAAAUGUUGUUGGGUAGGGGAGCGUUCUGUAAGCCUGUGAAGGUGUGCUGCGAGGCAUGCUGGAGGUAUCAGAAGUGCGAAUGCUGACAUAAGUAACGAUAAUGCGGGUGAAAAACCCGCACGCCGGAAGACCAAGGGUUCCUGUCCAACGUUAAUCGGGGCAGGGUGAGUCGACCCCUAAGGCGAGGCAGAAAUGCGUAGUCGAUGGGAAACAGGUUAAUAUUCCUGUACUGGUGAUAAUUGCGAUGGGGGGACGGAGAAGGCUAGGCUGGCCGGGCGACGGUUGUCCCGGUUUAAGGAUGUAGGUGGGUGAAUUAGGCAAAUCCGGUUCGCUAUACACUGAGGUCUGAUGACGAGUCACUACGGUGGCGAAGUAGCUCAUGCCCCGCUUCCAGGAAAAGCCUCUAAGCUCUAGAUUAUCAUUAAUCGUACCCCAAACCGACACAGGUGGUCAGGUAGAGAAUACUCAGGCGCUUGAGAGAACUCGGGUGAAGGAACUAGGCAAAAUGGUGCCGUAACUUCGGGAGAAGGCACGCUGGCAUUAGGUGAAGUGGUUUACCCAUGGAGCCGAAGCCAGUCGCAGAUACCAGCUGGCUGCAACUGUUUAUUAAAAACACAGCACUGUGCAAACACGAAAGUGGACGUAUACGGUGUGACGCCUGCCCGGUGCUGGAAGGUUAAUUGAUGGGGUUAUCCGUAAGGAGAAGCUCUUGAUCGAAGCCCCAGUAAACGGCGGCCGUAACUAUAACGGUCCUAAGGUAGCGAAAUUCCUUGUCGGGUAAGUUCCGACCUGCACGAAUGGCGUAAUGAUGGCCAGGCUGUCUCCACCCGAGACUCAGUGAAAUUGAACUCGCUGUGAAGAUGCAGUGUACCCGCGGCAAGACGGAAAGACCCCGUGAACCUUUACUAUAGCUUGACACUGAACAUUGAGCCUUGAUGUGUAGGAUAGGUGGGAGGCUUUGAAGUGUGGACGCCAGUCUGCAUGGAGCCAACCUUGAAAUACCACCCUUUAAUGUUUGAUGUUCUAACGUAGCCCCAUAAUCUGGGGUGCGGACAGUGUCUGGUGGGUAGUUUGACUGGGGCGGUCUCCUCCCAAAGCGUAACGGAGGAGCACGAAGGUUGGCUAAGCAUGGUCGGACAUCAUGCGGUUAGUGCAAAGGCAUAAGCCAGCUUGACUGCGAGAGUGACGGCUCGAGCAGGUACGAAAGUAGGUCUUAGUGAUCCGGUGGUUCUGAAUGGAAGGGCCAUCGCUCAACGGAUAAAAGGUACUCCGGGGAUAACAGGCUGAUACCGCCCAAGAGUUCAUAUCGACGGCGGUGUUUGGCACCUCGAUGUCGGCUCAUCACAUCCUGGGGCUGAAGUAGGUCCCAAGGGUAUGGCUGUUCGCCAUUUAAAGUGGUACGCGAGCUGGGUUUAGAACGUCGUGAGACAGUUCGGUCCCUAUCUGCCGUGGGCGUUGGAAGAUUGAAAGGGGCUGCUCCUAGUACGAGAGGACCGGAGUGGACGCACCGCUGGUGUUCGGGUUGUCAUGCCAAUGGCACUGCCCGGUAGCUAAGUGCGGAAGAGAUAACCGCUGAAAGCAUCUAAGCGGGAAACUUGCCUUGAGAUGAGUCUUCCCUGACCCUUUAAGGGUCCUAAAGGAACGUUUAAGACGAAGACGUUGAUAGGCUGGGUGUGUAAGCGUAGCGAUACGUUGAGCUAACCAGUACUAAUGAACCGUGAGGCUUAACCUG